AUUUACGGAAAUGAGGGGUGAGUUUUAAGAGUCGCAGUAUUGUGAGUUUUACAGGAAGUACAUUUGCUUUUCUUGAAAUGAUACUUGAAUAUCCUUGCGGCGGGAGUUACCCUUAGCCUAUAAAACAUCAUUUCUGCUAAUGCUUCCUAAAGUAGAACAUGCUUGCCUCUAAAAAUAAGUCAUGAUGCUAUCAGCAGCCCAGAUUACUUUUUUUUGGCAGAGGUCGCCUGACACAUCCAAAAAUGAAUGAAAGAGGAGAUGACCAACUGGCUAAAGCAGCUGGUUUAGCCCCCCCACCCCACCCCCGAAGCCACCCCAAGUGGUGACAGCGCGGCCGGGGUGGCAUUGCCUGGGGCGGCAUCACCCAGGGGUGGCAUCUCCUUGGGUGGCAUCACCCAGGGGUGUCAUCCUCCACCACAGGGAGUGCUGGGGAAGGAGCCCUUCCCCCGGAGGCAGGGGCAGUGUUUUUAAGCAAGAGAAGCUACUGCUUGAAAAUGGGAAAAAGAGGAUUCUUGUCUCUGGGACCUUCUGCCCACAGGGUAAGUGGGUGCUGACCCUUUGAAAGGUGACAAGCCUGUGUUAUAGGUUGCGACUGGAUUAUGUGAUGAAAACACGAAGCUAGCUUCCUUAAUGUAAAGCAUUCCUGCUAUCUCUGGAAAGUGCUUCCUCAUCAUUUAUGACAAACAUACCCUUAAGCCUCAUUUCAUAUUGCUGUUUGUUCUGUUCCAUUUCCAUCCUUCUCUGCUCCUUGCUGAUUGUGACUGUGGUGGACAGGGGAGGAGAAUGAGCAUAUGUGGAAGGAUUGCUGAAGGGAGACUGGUGGUCCCAGGGUGACUUUGCAGCCCUUUGUUCUGCUUCGUGGGAUUGCUGAAGUGUGUUAGAUAAACAGAAUCUCAUCUUAAUCUAGCAUAGCAAAAGCAAAAUGACAUUAGGAUCUUGAAAAGGACUUGUGUAUUGAACGUUGACUGAGAACCUAUCUAGAGGCCCAAAGGGUACAAUGACAGAAGGGGUAUGCAGAAGUGCUAUAAGAGAAACGGAGAUACUACUGAGAAGUAGGCAUGUUCCAAACAAUGCCGGAAAUCUGAAUUUAAGUCCCUUGAAUA
rnacentral:lncRNA from 1 species